AUGCCACAACCCACUCCGCUAGAAGCCACUCCAAUGCCAGAUCUGCGCCCCUUUCGCGCCGUUCAUGCCCAACAUCACUACCACCUCCCAUUCAGAUCUCAAUCAUUGUCGACAUCUCGAUGUUACCAGCCGAAGCACCCCGCCGCAGUAUCGUCGAUGACCAUCUCCAUAGGCAAUAGUUCAGGUUUGAAUUUUAAGUUUUUGGCAUUUGAUUUCAUGUAUUUGAGUUUGUUGGCAUUAUUGUGUUUGUGUUUUGGAAAAACAUAG